UACGUAGGGGGCAAGCGUUAUCCGGAUUUACUGGGUGUAAAGGGAGCGUAGGCGGCCUGCUAAGUCUGGAGUGAAAGGUACCGGCUCAACCGGUACAGGCUCUGGAAACUGGCGGGCUAGAGAGCAGGAGAGGGCGGUGGAACUCCAUGUGUAGCGGUAAAAUGCGUAGAUAUAUGGAAGAACACCAGUGGCGAAGGCGACUUGCUGGGCCAAAACUGACGCUGAGACACGAAAGCGUGGGGAGCAAAUAGG
rnacentral:rRNA from 1 species